rnacentral:misc_RNA from 1 species
UUAAGUUCAGCGGGUAUCCCUACCUGAUCCGAGGUCAAACGAGGAAAUAUCGACUGAGGCAGGCGCGCCCGGAGACUCCUGGAGCGAGGGAUAAUUCUUGCUACGCUCGGAGCCGGACGGUACCGCCAGUAGGUUCCAGGCGAGCCCGCAGGCUCGACCCAAGGCCAAGUUUGUACAGCGUACGCUUGAUGUUUUAACGA